rnacentral:lncRNA from 1 species
UAUUGAGCGAACUCUUCUGCGGGAAGGGCUUGGCGUAGACCGCGCACUGGAAGGCGUGCGCGCAGGUGUGCGUGACCAUGUGCUUGAAACGGCAGUAGCGCAGCGAGAAGGAUCGCCAUCACACGGCGCACUGGUGCGGCUUCUCCCCCGAGUGGAUGAACAUGUGCUUGGUGUCGUUUUUCCUUGAGCUGAACGUCUUGCAACAGUGGCCGCACGCAUAGCUGCCCCAGAUCCCGGAAGAAAAUCUCUCCCACACCACUGUAGUCAGAGAGGCCAGUGGGUGCAUGGAACUCCUCGCACGCGCUGUCAGCAGCAGCAGUGAGGAAGCCGGCAGCACAGUCUGGGAAGGAAGGAGGUGCUUGGCUCUCUCCCGGGCCGCCACCUUCGCCGUCCUCGCCAUCGGUCUCAUCGUCAGUUUCCUCGUCAUCGUUGUCACCUCGGUCGUCAGGGGCCGCGGACAGUGAGGGGUAGGCACCAAGCCCCUCGGCUUUGGCAGGUGUCGGGGGCGCAGGCAGCUGCAAACUCGCGGGCCGGCGCUGCUUACCGCUGUGCGCGGCACCGGGGUGCCCCGGGGGUGCGCAGCCAGCAGGUGGCGCAGGCGGUGACGCAGCUGCUCAGGUGCGAGUGGCGGGGGCACAGGGGUGGGCAGGGGCGCGGGUGCAGAGGUGCUCGCGGGUGCAGAGGAGCGCGUGCGAUAAUCUGCGUGCAUUCGUCGAUAACUGUCUAUGCGAAGCACCGACGCAGCCAUGAGUACCUGCGGGGCUUCACUCUGUGCCACAACGAGCGAACCGCUGUACAGGAGCUCGACUAGCUGUCGCACCGUCUGCACAGGCACCACCGAAGGCACACGGAUCUCAGAGGGGCCGAGCAGCAGCUUGUCUUGGAAGGAGGGCGAGCCGAUUGCCAGCCCGCAGCGGUGCGCACGCAGCGAAGCUUCAUGAAUGCACACAGUCACGUCGCAGAAGUGCCCACCCAGCUUCUGCCCAUUGAGGGUCUCAAGCAGAGAGCGUGAGAAGUUCUGCAGAUGUAUGUGGCGCACAGCCUCUACAGCCGCCGACUCCGACUCCUCUUCAGGCACCAGGCCUGGCCGUGGCCGCCUUCUCACCGACUCCAAGGCAGCACUUCCGGGCGCUUCUCUUUAUUUUUAUACAGUUUUAUUGAGAUAUAAUUUACAUGCUAUCCAGCCCAUCUAUUUCAAGUGUACCAUGCAAGGGGUUUGUAUAUAUUCACAGAGUUGUGUAUCCAUCACCAUCGUUUUAGAACAUUCAUCACUCCAGAAGAAACUACUACCCAUCAGCAGCCACUGCCCAUUUCCCUGAUCUGCCCCGCCCUAGGAAAUCCGUAAUCACUUUCAGUCUAUGGAUUUGCCUAUUCUAGACCAUUCAUAUAAAUGAAGUCACACAACACUGGGUCUUAUGUGACUGGCUUCUAUCAAAGUUUGCAAGGUUCAUUUAUGUUCAUGCUGAUGAUAUAAACUGGCUCAUUUGAUGCCAAGACUGACCAUCACCACCAUACCAAGGUCAUCACUGAUCAGAGGCCUAACCCAAGGAGGGGGUCAUGUGCAGACCCAGCUGUGGGGAGGAAAGAUGCUGCAGAGGAGACGGAUGCCCACAGAGGCCCCUGAGUGGAUACAAUGCUCACUAAGUGGGCUGACCCCACAUUGGACACCGCUGCAUCCAUGUCCAUCACACAACACAGCUGCCGUUUCUUCUGCCUGCUUAUGGGAAAGUCCCCUCUUCUCCUCCGUUUUCUUCUCUUCCUGCCCUAUCACACCGUGCACUUCUCCCUUUCCUUAAAGAACCACCAUCAACUUUAGGAGGAGGGAAAGGGGUGGCUCUGGCAGGAAAAGCCAGAAUCCCCUCUAGCCAGCAGAGAGAGAGAGGAAUGGCUGCAUGUUUUCUCCCCCAGUCCAAGGCACUGGGUCUUGGCUGGGUUGAAGGUUCCAAGCUGCUCUCCUGCUGUGUCGGUGAGUUCUGGUCAACCUGCAACCUCCUGAUAUGGCCAUUGCAGUUCAUCGAGUCUUCAGGGACUCCCCAUGGCCUGGAGUACUUUGCCUUGCUUACACGGGAGAGGAGAAUGGAUUUAUAGAGAACAUCAUCUAAAUCCAACUUGACCAUUGUGUGGCCACACUUGCUAGAUUGCUAUAGUCUAAAUCUAGCAUUGUAGAAAGACGGGGGAGCUUGGAGCUGCACAAACCCAGGUCUGGAACUGGCUCCUUACCUUGGAAGGUGAAUGAUCCUGCCAGGACUCUUAGCCUCCCUGGGUCUCAAUUUCUUUAUCUGUUUCAUGGGAAUGAGGAUCUCUGCUGGGUGGUUGGGUGAUGUGGGGGCUGUGUGAAAACAGCUUGUCAAUACAAGCCAAAAUAGAAAUAUUUCUCCACAGAGUAUGAAGGUCAAAUGAGAGAAUACAUUUAAAUUAAAUGGAAAAUUAAAAUGGUAAAAAAUGCAAAGCUGUAUUGAAAGUUCCGAGCUUCUCUAUAAGGAGCUUUUUGACUAUGUAAGAAUCCUGUACUCGUUCCCCCUAAAUAUAAAAAAAAGUUGAAGGAGGCAGAAGGGAGAGUGAUGCACGAUGGGCAAGGACUUCACCUGCUGUUGCUGGCUUUGAGGAUGGAGGAAGGAGGCCACAAACCUAGAAGCUGGAGCCCCUAGAAGCUAGAAAAGGCAGGGACCCGAUUCUUUCCUUGAGCCUCCAGAAGGGACACAGCCCCGCCAGCACCUUGACUUUAGCCUGGUGAGAUCCUCUUAGGACUUUUGGCAAUCAGAACUAUAAGACAGAAAUGGAAGCCACUGAGUCUGUAGCUGUUUGUUGCAGCAGCAAUAGAAAACUAAUGCAGGGCCCAAGAAAUCACUGGUGAUGAGAUCGGGAAAGUGGGCUCAGGAGGUCUGGAUCUGUGAUGAGAUGGGGAAAGUGGGCUCAAGAGGUCUGGAUCUGUGGUGAGAUGGGGGAAGUGGGCUCAGGAGGUCUGGAUCUGUGAUGAGAUGGGGAAAGUGGGCUCAGGAGGUCUGGAUCUGUGAUGAGAUGGGGAAAGUGGGCUCAGGAGGUCUGGAUCUGUGAUGAGAUGGGGGAAGUGGGCUCAGGAGGUCUGGAUCUGUGAUGAGAUGGGGGAAGUGGGCUCAGGAGGUCUGGAUCUGUGAUGAGAUGGGGGAAGUGGGCUCAGGAGGUCUGGAUCUGUGAUGAGAUGGGGAAAGUGGGCUCAGGAGGUCUGGAUCUGUGAUGAGAUGGGGGAAGUGGGCUCAGGAGGUCUGGAUCUGUGAUGAGAUGGGGAAAGUGGGCUCAGGAGGUCUGGAUCUGUGAUGAGAUCGGGAAAGUGGGCUCAAGAGGUCUGGAUCUGUGGUGAGAUGGGGGAAGUGGGCUCAGGAGGUCUGGAUCUGUGAUGAGAUGGGGAAAGUGGGCUCAGGAGGUCUGGAUCUGUGAUGAGAUGGGGAAAGUGGGCUCAGGAGGUCUGGAUCUGGGGUGGGGAUCUGGAGUGGAAGGGGAAUUCAUUUGUUCAUUGUCUAUCCUUUUGUAUUGAUUGAAUUUUUUAUAUAUAUAUGUGAAUUUUCACAAUAAAAUUUUUUUCCAAAAUAAAAUAAACAAAAGGGGCUUUUUGCAACCCA